GUAGAGGAGAUUCUGUGCGUGUGUUUUUCAUUUCUUUGUGGAUUUGUUUCAAAGAUAUUGUCAUCUGUGUAGAAGUGCUAAGCAGAUGCUACACUGUAAGAAGAGGCAACAGAAUCAAAAACUGAAAGAUUGUUACUAAAACCAAUGAAGAGCUGCAGAGAGUGGAGACCCGGCAAAGCAAACAAAUGAAUCCUGAAAAGGAUCCCCAAAGGAGGUGUAAGGAUCUGGGACUCCAGUGUCUGCCAGAAGCUUCAGCCACCUUCACAGGUAGAAGUCACUGGCUUUCCUACAAUGCCACUAGUGCUCUGCCUGCUCUCCAGGUCUGCUCCCUCCAGCAGGACAG